rnacentral:rRNA from 1 species
AGCAGCCGCGGUAAUUCCAGCUCCAAUAGCGUAUAUUAAAGUUGUUGCAGUUAAAAAGCUCGUAGUUGAAUUUCGGGGUUCUACCGUUGGUCGGGCUAUUGUCUGUACUGGCGUGUAGAAUUUCUACCUUCUGGGGAACUAUCAUGUUAUUAAUUUAGCGUGGUAGGAAACCAGGACCUCUACCUUGAAAAAAUUAGAGUGUUCAAAGCAGGCUUAUGUCUGAAUACAUUAGCAUGGAAUAAUAAAAUAGGACGG